CAGGUACCUUCUUCCAGCCCAACUGUGAGGAGGACAAGCAAAACAAGAGUGCCCUGUGCUCCCUCCUGGAGACCUGGUUGGUCAAAUACCCAGGAGACUUCUGCCAGUGCCCAGACCUGGCCAGCCUGAAGCAGCUCAUGGCCUAUGCGCUCAUCAACCUGCCUGACUCGGACCUUGUUCUGCAAGUGGACAGACUCCUGACCCAAUUAGAACCCCUCUGAGGAGGAGCCCGAGGACUAGCGUCCAACCUGCAAUCCGCUGCAGCAGGUGUCAAGAGAGACUCAGGAGCAAAAGGAGGGAGGGAGCCUGCAGCAGCUUUUCUGACACCUCGAGAUCUGGAGCCAGGAGCCAGGAGCCAGAACAGACAGCAGCAGCCAAGACUGACUCCUUGCACUUGGCAGCUCCUGGUCCAGCUGCAGUGCCUUCCCUCCCCUCACCUGGGAAAGUCAUCUUUUGUUUUUUUUCUGAUUUUCCUAUCCAUGUUUGGAUAGGAAAUUUUAUUUUAAUAAAUUUAAUAAAAUUCUAUUGUAAAAUA